GAUUUCCUAUUUCUACUCUUUGCUUUCUCUCUCUAGACAUAGCUAUUUUUUUUCUAAGAAAUUUGCUCUGCCUUCUCUCUAAGAAAACCACUCAGAAUCGAUAAAAAAUUUUAACUGAAGGUACUACAACGUUCCUUGCACCAAGAUCUUCAUUUUUAACCGAACAGUUUCUCCUGUUCGUCCCGGUCCGAUUAAUCUUGUCUCUGCGUUGGAGUACUGUCUUGAGGUCUUGUGAGCUGUUCUGUGUAACCAAAAUAUGGCGAGGAGGAUACUCUGGAAACAACUCUUGAUGGGGAAGACAGUGUUGCUGCCUAGUUCUCUAGGCUUUAAUUCUCUUGUCCAAGGAUAUUUUGAAGAAACUUUAUUAUGUUAUAAGUUUUUAAAUUCUCUGUAAUUUCUAGGGAGAAACUCGAGUACUCUAGUUUUCAAUUUCAUAUUAUUCUAAGGAUGACUGUAAUCCUAAUUACUCUUGAUUGCUUUCCUAUAUUAUGCAUG